AACUAGCACCUCAAGUGGUCAGGAGGAUUAUUGGGCCUAAAGCAUCCGUAGCCGGCUCUGUAAGUUUUCGGUUAAAUCCAUAUGCUCAACGUAUGGGCUGCCGAAAAUACUGCAUAGCUAGGGAGUGGGAGAGGUAGACGGUACUCGGUAGGAAGGGGUAAAAUCCUUUGAUCUAUUGAUGACCACCUGUGGCGAAGGCGGUCUACCAGAACACGUUCGACGGUGAGGGAUGAAAGCUGGGGGAGCAAACCGG
rnacentral:rRNA from 1 species